UGGGGUAUAGCUCAGUGACAGAGUAUGCACUUAGCAUGUGUGAAGCCUGGGUUCAAUCCCCAGUACAUUAA
rnacentral:tRNA from 1 species